GCAGAGUAGGUUUGUGUGCGUUAAGUGCCGGCUGAACAGGGAGUUGUCAGCGGGACGAAAAGAAGGAAUUCUUGCGGUACACAGACCGCAUCCCGCUGC
rnacentral:ncRNA from 1 species